rnacentral:rRNA from 1 species
CGUGAGUAACCUGCCUUGGAGUGGGGAAUAACACAGCGAAAACUGUGCUAAUACCGCAUAAUGCAUUUGGGUCGCAUGAUUCUGAAUGCCAAAGAUUUAUCGCUCUGAGAUGGACUCGCGUCUGAUUAGCUAGUUGGCGGGGUAACGGCCCACCAAGGCGACGAUCAGUAGCCGGACUGAGAGGUUGGCCGGCCACAUUGGGACUGAGACACGGCCCAG